rnacentral:rRNA from 1 species
GCACAAGUGGGGAAACCCUGAUGCAGCCAUGCCGCGUGUGUGAAGAAGGCCUUCGGGUUGUAAAGCACUUUCAGUAGGGAGGAAGGUAGUGUAGUUAACACCUGCAUUAUUUGACGUUACCUACAGAAGAAGCACCGGCUAACUCCGUGCCAGCAGCCGCGGUAAUACGGAGGGUGCGAGCGUUAAUCGGAAUUACUGGGCGUAAAGCGCAUGCAGGCGGCUUGUUAAGUCAGAUGUGAAAGCCGGGGCUUAACCUCGGAAUUGCAUUUGAAACUGGCAGGCUAGAGUCUUGUAGAGGGGGGUAGGAAUUUCAGGUGUAGCGGUGAAAUGCGUAGAGAUCUGAAGGAAUACCAGUGGCGAAGGCGGCCCCCUGGACAAAGACUGACGCUCAGAUGCGAAAGCGUGGGGAGCAAACAGGAUUAGAUACCCUGGUAG